UACGGGGGGGGCAAGCGUUGUUCGGAAUUACUGGGCGUAAAGGGCUCGUAGGUGGCCAACUAAGUCAGACGUGAAAUCCCUCGGCUUAACCGGGGAACUGCGUCUGAUACUGGAUGGCUUGAGUUUGGGAGAGGGACGCGGAAUUCCAGGUGUAGCGGUGAAAUGCGUAGAUAUCUGGAGGAACACCGGUGGCGAAGGCGGCGUCCUGGACCAACACUGACACUGAGGGGCGAAAGCCAGGGGAGCAAACGGG
rnacentral:rRNA from 1 species